GACGAACGCUGGCGGCGUGCUUAACACAUGCAAGUCGAACGAUGAACCCGGAGCUUGCUCCGGCGGAUUAGUGGCGAACGGGUGAGUAACACGUGAGUAACCUGCCCUUGACUCUGGGAUAACUGCUAGAAAUGGUAGCUAAUACCGGAUACGACCCUCGGAGGCAUCUCCAGGGGGUGGAAAGAAUUUCGGUCAAGGAUGGACUCGCGGCCUAUCAGCUAGUUGGUGAGGUAAUGGCUCACCAAGGCUAUGACGGGUAGCUGGUCUGAGAGGAUGACCAGCCAGAGGGAAACUGAGACACGGUUCCCACUCCUACGGGAGGCAGCAGUAAAGAAUCUUCCGCAAUGGACGAAAGUCUGACGGAGCGACGCCGCGUGCAGGAUGAAGGCC
rnacentral:rRNA from 1 species